GUGUCAGCAGCCGCGGUAAUACAGAGGGUGCAAGCGUUAAUCGGAAUUACUGGGCGUAAAGGGCGCGUAGGUGGGAAAAUAAGUUGGAUGUGAAAUCCCCGGGCUUAACCUGGGAGCGUCAACCAGUACUGUUUUUCUAGAGUAUGGUAGAGGGAAGUGGAAUUUCCGGUGUAGCGGUGAAAUGCGUAGAUAUCGGAAGGAACACCAGUGGCGAAGGCGGCUUCCUGGACUAAUACUGACACUGAGGCGCGAAAGCGUGGGGAGCGAACAGGAUUAGAUACCCUGGUAGUCCACGCUGUAAACGAUGAGGACUAGCCGUUGGGUUUUUAAAAAGACCAAGUGGCGCAGCAAACGCGAUAAGUUCUCCGCCUGGGGAGUACGGCCGCAAGGCUAAA
rnacentral:rRNA from 1 species